CCUGGCGGCAGUAGCGCGGUGGUCCCACCUGACCCCAUGCCGAACUCAGAAGUGAAACGCCGUAGCGCCGAUGGUAGUGUGGGGUCUCCCCAUGCGAGAGUAGGGAACUGCCAGGU
rnacentral:rRNA from 2 species